rnacentral:rRNA from 1 species
UACGAAGGGGGCUAGCGUUGCUCGGAAUCACUGGGCGUAAAGCGCACGUAGGCGGCUUUUUAAGUCAGAGGUGAAAUCCUGGAGCUCAACUCCAGAACUGCCUUUGAUACUGAGAAGCUUGAGUCCGGGAGAGGUGAGUGGAACUGCGAGUGUAGAGGUGAAAUUCGUAGAUAUUCGGAAGAACACCAGUGGCGAAGGCGGCUCACUGGACUGGUAUUGACGCUGAGGUGCGAAAGCGUGGGGAGCAAACAGG